rnacentral:rRNA from 1 species
GUGGGGAAUCUUCCACAAUGGACGAAAGUCUGAUGGAGCAACGCCGCGUGAGUGAAGAAGGGUUUCGGCUCGUAAAGCUCUGUUGUCGGGGACGAAUGUGCAGUAUUUGAAUAAAGUACUGCAAUGACGGUACCUGACGAGGAAGCCACGGCUAACUACGUGCCAGCAGCCGCGGUAAUACGUAGGUGGCAAGCGUUGUCCGGAAUUAUUGGGCGUAAAGGGAGCGCAGGCGGGAAGGUAAGUCGGUCUUAAAAGUGCGGGGCUCAACCCCGUGAUGGGAUCGAAACUAUCUUUCUUGAGUGCAGGAGAGGAAAGUGGAAUUCCUAGUGUAGAGGUGAAAUGCGUAGAUAUUAGGAGGAACACCAGUGGCGAAGGCGACUUUCUGGACUGUAACUGACGCUGAGGCUCGAAAGCCAGGGGAGCGAACGGGAUUAGAAACCCCGGUAGUCC